UACGAGUGCCCCAAGCGUUAUCCGGAAUUAUUGGGCGUAAAGGGUGUGUAGGUGGUCUUGUUAGUCUUCUGUGAAAUUCUUCGGCUUAACCGGGGGUCCGCAGGGGAAACGGCAGGACUAGAGGAUGCGAGAGGUGUACGGAACUCAUGGUGUAGGGGUGAAAUCCGUUGAUAUCAUGGGGAACACCAAAAGCGAAGGCAGUACACUGGCGCACUCCUGACACUGAAACACGAAAGCGUGGGUAGCGAAUGGG
rnacentral:rRNA from 1 species